rnacentral:rRNA from 1 species
GACGUAGGGCGCGAGCGUUGUCCGGAAUUAUUGGGCGUAAAGAGCUCGUAGGCGGCUUGUCGCGUCGACUGUGAAAACCCGCGGCUCAACUGCGGGCCUGCAGCCGAUACGGGCAGGCUAGAGUUCGGUAGGGGAGACUGGAAUUCCUGGUGUAGCGGUGAAAUGCGUAGAUAUCUGGAGGAACACCGGUGGCGAAGGCGGCGUUCUGGACUGCUACUGACACUGAGGAACGAAAGCCAGGGGAGCAAACGGG